GAAAUGCGAUAAGUAAUGUGAAUUGCGGAAUUCAGUGAAUCAUCGAAUCUUUGAACGCACCUUGCGCUCCUUGGUAUUCCUUGGAGCAUGCCUGUUUGAGUAUCAUGAAAUCUUCAAAGUAAAUCUUUUGUUAACUCAAUUGGUUUCUACUUUGGUAUUGGAGGUCUUUGCAGCUUCACACCUGCUCCUCUUUGUUCAUUAGCUGGAUCUCAGUGUUAUGCUUGGUUCCACUCGGCGUGAUAAGUUAUCUAUCGCUGAGGACACUGUAAAAGGUGGCCAAGGUAAAUUCAGAUGAACCGCUUCUAAUAGUCCAUUGACUUGGACAAUACUUUUAUGAUCUGAUCUCAAAUCAGGUAGGACUACCCGCUGAACUUAAGC
rnacentral:misc_RNA from 1 species